CUAGGAUGAAAAGCAAAAUGAAAUCUAACCAAAAUUUACAUAAUUCAGCCAGCAUCAGGUCAACGCUUACAAAUGUCUAGGGCUCCUUUUCCUCCAUCAAAUGAACUCUAAUCAUCCCUGAUCUACAUCAGUGGAUCCCCUUUCUUUUGAACUUGCUGUUUCAAAGAUUCCUCUGUGAGGUUUAAGUCUCAAUCAAUUUCAUCUCCUCCAAGCAGGUCACAACUGAUUCCUCCAACAAUACCACUCUUCUCACUCCACCCUACCAACACCUCCAGGGGAAUAGGCCUUACAGUACCACUGGUUUAUUUGUUUUUCCAUGUUGCUGGAAAAAGAGAUGAAGUCAACUGGCGAAACAGGUUUACUUCUUCUGAACUGAGAUAACUUGUGUUGGGCCUUCACAGGCUGUGAGUAGUCCUUUUGAGAGUUCCGUAUGGGUGAGCCACCUGUGAAACUGAAGAAAUUCAACUUGAAGGGGUGCUAAGAAUCACAAAAGAAGCACAAAAUCUUGGAGACAGAAGGGAGUUCAGAAGGUCUUAUCUGUACCCGAAUAGGAACAUUCCCAAAUAAGGAGUGGUCAUCCAGUUUUUACUUGAAGACCUGAAUUAAGGUGGAACUCAUUACCUAGUCAUAGGCUGCCCAUUCCACUUGGGGUAGCUCUAAUUGCUAGGAAGUUUUUGUGUUUUUGUUUUCCCCUGGAGACCAUCUUGCCGCAAUUUUCAUCCAUUGUUCCUAGGUGUACCAUCUGAGGCUGAGUAAAACAAGUGUAGUCCUUCUCCCAGAUCACAGAUCUAAAUAUAUGUCUUCAAAUGAAUAUUCAGCUCCUCCUCCCCUUGCCUUUUUCUCCACGCUACCUCAUAGGAUGUUUGCUAGAAAGGACCCUAGGGAUCGUGUCACCUGUUCAUUUUAAAGAUGAGGACUCUUUUCCUGCCUGCAGUGUCCCCGGUAGAAAGUAAGAUGCUUGAGGGAAGAGAUUGCUUUUGUAUGUGAACCUCCAGAAACCAGCACUGUGCUUGAUACAUUGUAGACAUUUAAUAAGUGUUUGCUGAUCACUGGAUUGAUUCUUAUAGGGAAUAUCAGACUUAAGAGAGGAAGCUGUCUGAUCAAAGCUGUUUCAAUCCUCAGAAUAUUCCUCACCGAUGAAAUUAAAAGUCCUGAAUUUCCUGAAGAUAACAUGGUAUAGUAGAGAGAAACGUGGCCUCAGAGACAGACGGAUGGUUCAAAAGCACUAUGUUCAUUUCCUACCUGGCUGCAUUAGCUGUAUUUCUCCUUUGUACCCCAGGAACCUUUUCAUCCUAGAAGGUCCUUUCAGCCCUGGAUCUCAACUCAGAGAAUUCAUUCAUCAGAGGAACCUAGAAAUGCACCUAAAGAAAAGCUUCUUUUGUGUAGCACAUCAUAUGUUUGGAGCCUUGGGUCAAUAAUUCAGUUCUCCAGAUUUCCCAGAACACUCCUCUUCAGACACACAUACAUUUCAGGCAGGGAAAGGUGUCACCUAUUUACAUCAAACAUCUAUUGCCUAACUGCAUACUAUGACCUACCAUCACUUUUGACCCAGAUGAACCUUGGCUGGAAUCUGUCUCCAAUCCUCCUACAAGAGAGCCAUGAAAGUGACCCUGCAUCUUCAAAGGCCAUGCCAGUGUUGGCAGAAUGAGCAUCCACACAAAUGAAAACAUGGACCCUUUAAGCAUUGUUGUCUGAGUGUAUU